CGCCCACAGCUCACAGACGAGAAGGCCACAAAGUAGUCCAGCUCGGGGCAUGCCGCCCGCGUCACCCUGUGGGUGCUCGAGUCACACCCUGCUUGCUCUCCUGGCCCACCUGCCGCCAUGCCCAGGAGCCUCUGCCUGCUGCCUGGUCCCCGAGUGGCAGUGGGAACUGAGCUGGGAUGCACGCAGGACAAGAGACAGCUGCUCCCAGCACGUGCCAGGUCAGGGCCAGACUGGGCUGGGGGACGGGGACAGGGCUAAGAGGGCCGGACACCUCACCUGUCCAAGUUCACGGUACCACUGUACUUGGGCUUGUUGACGUCCUGGAAGAACUCAGGAGUCUGAUUCUCU